UGCUUGUACUUCUGCCAGCUGCUGGAUGAAAUCUAUAGAAUGGCAUAUAAGUUAGUCAUCAAUCUUCUUAUCAGCAGAGGGAAUUUAAGGUAGCCUCUCAGUUAAGGGGACUUACUAACUUCUUCAGUUAAAGAUGUAACUCUUAGACCCAAAGGCCUACACCUGGGAAGGAGCAGGGCAGAACACCUGUAAGUCCUGGCAAGGGUUCAGGCACUUGGGAAGUAGCUGGGGACAGGUAUAAACCCUGCCUACUCGGAUCCAGGUCCUCCUUUUGAAGGAUUCAGAUGCUGUAGGGUGCUGUGGGGGAAAAGCUGCAUCUGACAAAACCUACCUCCCUCUAGAAGAGGAGUGCAGAUUCAGGAGAGGCAAAGAUUGAUUCUACCAAAGAAAGAAGCCCAGCUUGGCUGACCUGGAUAAAGGGACUGAAAUGCAGUGUGGACCCCAGGGUUCCACAUGUGUGACAACAGAGGACUGCUGCUACUGGGGGUGGGGGACAUGGGACUCUUCCUCACAUGAGACCUUUGAUUUAAGGUAGAGUUUCCUGGUUAUUGCAGAUUGAGGUGAGAAUGUUGAGAAAGUCACACCCCUAAAAUCAGGUACAAAGUCUGCCUAAGACAGGCUAGCCAAGGUCAACAGAAAACUUUCCUGUCUCCACCAUGAGCCAGUCUAUUGCUAAAGGAAUAACAAGUGUGAAUGCAGAUACCUGAAUGGACUAGGCAUUUGGGGAUCCCGUAAAGUUGAGGGGGAUAAGUAUUACUUUAAAACUAGAAGACUUGCUGUAAAGUGUGGCCUGUAAUUUCAGCUUCUAGGAGGCUGAGACAGGAUCACUACCUUACGACCAACAUGGGAUGCAGGGUUCUUCAAGGGUAGUUUGAACUACUUGGGUGAGAUCCUUUCUGAAGUAAAUCAAGGGCUGGGGAUGCUGCUCUGUGGUUGAGUGAAUAUACAUAAGGGCAUAGGUUCAAUUCCCAGAGCUGCAAAAACAAAACUGGCCUGUUAGCUGGGGCUUGGGAACAAUCCUGUCCGUGGGAACACUUCGUAGUCAUUUGGUGAUUUGAGAAGGUGGUUACUCAAUGGAGCAAAUCACCGUUACUAAUAGAACAAGGCAAGUUGGAGCUUUCUAGUCAUCUUUUCUUUUAGUUCUAAGAUGUAUUAUGAGUAGCAAACGUGUUCCUUUUUCAUUUGUUGUCGUUUGAGAAUAUUAUAGCUGUUUACAAUGUGUUUUGAAUGAUCAAUGAUAAUGUCCUCUUGGAUUCACUCCUCCACAAUUUAAUGUCUUUUUUUUUUUUUUUUUUUUUAACCCACCUGGUCCAAUUAGUGCUUCUUAUAUACCCAGAGUGUGAGCAAAUCGAAUGGAGUAUGGUUGGCCUGCCAGGGCCACACCCUUAAAACUGACUCUACUGGCAGCCAUCAAUUGUCAAUAGUGGCUUCUCUAGGGGUGGCAGCUUGUGAGUCUCUCACAAUUUCAUGACGAGAAUGUUGCCUGGCUUGAUCUUGUGCAGACAGCCACAGCUGCAGUGAGCUCAUGACUCCCAUCGUGGCCAGAAGACAAUUUGACCCUGGUAGAUUUCUUUUCUAACAUGCCUAACGUAGCUUCCAUCUAUGAUUCAUAAAACACAGAAAUCUUUGCUAAUCUUUCCUAUGACUGUGCCCAUCCUAACAAGCUUCCAAGCUGCCCACCUUACGAGGCUCCUCUGCUCCACUGUUUUUUCUGUCCAAUUUCAAACUAGUUUAACACAGGCUUUAGGGUGUUCUUUCUGACUGUUCACAUGCAUGAACACGCACGGUAUACACCUGUGCAUGUGUGGUAGAAUAUUACUUUAAGGUGUGUGACUUUUGUUAAUGCUGCAUUUGUUUAACUCUGUGAAGCUGUGCUUCUUUGCCUGUCUAAAACACCUGAUGGUCCUAAUAAAGAGCUGAAUGGCUAAUCGUGAGGCAGGAACAAGGAUAGGUGGGGCUGGCAGGCAGAGCAUAUAAAUAGAAGGAGAAAGAGACCAAGGAGAGGAAGACAGCCAGUCAUGGAGUGAGAAGGAGAGUAAGAAAUACAGAAGAAAGAUAAAACCUAACCCUAACCCAGAGGGAAAGGUAGACGGGUUAAUUUAAGAUAAGAAAAUCUGGCUAGAAACAAGGCAUACUAAGGCCAGGCACUCAUAAUUAAGAAUCAGCCUUCAUGUGUCAUUUAUUUGGAAGCUGGGUGGUGUGUCCUGACAAAAGCUAAAAGAGCAAAGAUAAAAUAUUCACACAACACGCAACCGUGCAUGAACACACACAACUCCAAAGUAAGAGUGGCUCUAUUAUAGUAGCAAUGAUCGUUACAAAAAAGUAGACGAUUCAGUGAUUCAUAGUAGUUAUGCAGAAAACCAUUACCACCAUUUAACAUUUUAGUCCUCAUUACCAUCAGUCAUUACCACUCCCUCCAUCCCAGCUCUAGUUGGCAGCCACUGACCCACUCUGUUUUCAUGGAUUUGCCUAUUUUGGACAUUCACAUAAAUGGUCAUAAACAUGUAAUCUUUUGUUACAGCAGUGCCAUCUACAACAAAAGAAACUAACCCACGGUGUCAUUUGCCCAAGAGAGCCUGAUGCGUUUGUUCUGAAGGGUUCUGAAGAGGUCAUCCUAUUUGUCGAACAGCAAGUGUGGCAUAGACAAUGAAUGUGGAACUUUUAGCAGUCUUUGGGAGUCUCACGGUAGAAGACAUUGUUUUUCUGACCCUUUGACUCAGAACAGCACACAAAGGCACACAUAGAUGUUCUCAACCCAUGCUCACAUGUUGUUUUCAACAUUUUAAAGGGGAGGUGGUGUUGAUUUCAACUCUUUGCCGUCUAGUUACUUCAUCUUCCCCAUAUAUAUGCUGUUCUGAGUCAGGGGCAUGCAUGGGCUAUGAAGGGAAGAGAGGAAACACGAUAUGAGAUCAAAACUAUGCUAUCAGCUAAGCUUGCAAGAGUUCAUUAGGUUGUGAGUAUAAACUGAGAAGAUUGAUUCCAUAGUUUUUCUUAAAGGGCAGUUGAUUUGGAUCAGGCUGUGUACACAGUAUGUAAACAAAAUGAGUACGUGGUUCUAAGUGACCUCAAAGCACAUUGCUAACUUGGCCACAGGCAGGGCCAAAGUCUGGUUUAUAAAAUGCAAGGCACAACAGGAGUUUCUCAGAAAAGUCAUCCCCCUUUGCUUACUGGCUUUCUCUUACUACGUUUUCAGGGUUCACCCAUGUUGCACGGAUGUGUAUUCUCUCCCUAUUGUAGAAUAAGAUUCUAUCACAUGGAUAUGUUAUCUUUUAUUUAUUCACCAUUUUACUGGCCACUAUACUUUCUGUCUGUUAUUAAUAAGGCUUCUAUGAACAUUUGUACACUUUAAAAAUUGUUUUAUAAUUUUGUUGUUCUUGGCAGAAACCGGAGAGGAGAAUUGUAAGGUCAUAUAUAUUACUAUUUUUUAACUUUUGGGAAGCAGCCAUUUUUGUUUCCCAAGUGGCUUUCCCAUUUGAUAUCCUUACAAGCAAUGUUCGAGGGCCUCAAGUCUGCCACACCUUCAUCAGCCUGAGUUCUGUCUCUCUACCAGAGCUAAUCUAAGGGGCCAAGGAGCUCCCUCAUUGUGUUUUGGUUUACAUUGCUGUAAUGACGAAUGGUGCUGCUGUCUUUUCAUGUGUUUACUGCACAUUUGUGUAUCUUCUCAGAAAAUGUGUCUAUUCAGAAUCUUUUUUAGAAGAUUCUUUUUAUUUUAGAAAUUGGUUGUCUUUUGUUAGUGAGGUAGAAGAGUUCUUCCACAUUCUAGACACAAGCCUUGUGAGUUGGCUUCACUGUAUGUGUGUGUGUGUGUAUGUCCUCUGAGCACACACAGAGGCUUUUAAUUUUUAUGAAGUUCAUUGUAUUCUCUCACAGAUACCCGUCUGCUUCUGCCUCCUGAGUGCUGGGAUUAAAAUGCGCUGCCAUCCUGGGCUCGUUGUAUACUAUUGUUGCUUGUGCUUUAAGUAUCUUAUCUAAAACUUCAUUGUUGCCCAAACCAAAGUUCUUGUACAAGUUCGUAACUACUGUAUGACCAUUAGGUCUUUGAUCCAAUUUGGCUUAAGUUUUGUUUGUGGUAUGAGGAAGGAGUCCAGAUGCAUUCUUUUGUAUAUGGACAUCCAGUUGUCUUAACAACAUUUAUUGAAAUGAUAUGCCAAGCACUUGACACCAUCUACCUCCUUUUCACCUCAUAAAACGCUAUGGCUAGCCUGGCAGUGGUGGUUCACUUGGAGGUAGAGACAGGCAGAUCUCGGAGUUCAAUGUCAGCCUGGUCUACAGAGUGAGUUCCAGGACAACCAGGGUCGUUACACAGAGAAAUGCUGUCUCCCAAAACAAAGACAAAGACAAAGAAAUAACAACAGCAGCCAACCAAAAACCCUGAUUCUCUUGUCACCAAUGAAGACACCAAAUCUUAGAAAGUUCAAGUAAUCUGUGGCCACAUGACUGAUAAAUGAAGGAAUCUACAUUUGAACUCAUGUUCUCUGACUCCAGGCACUAUGUUAUGCUUUAAAAGAAUUUUUAAAAUUGUUGAAACCCUAAAGAGAAUGCACUUUCCAAUAGGGAGUGUUUAAAGAGAGAAAGAGCACUGACAGUCCAACUCUGAGAAAAAGAAGGAACACAGGCACAGGGGGACUGCUUGUGUCUGUGGCUUCAUAUGAACAGUGGUUCUUGGAUGUUUCUAUUUUAUAUACAUGGUUUUCAACUAGAACAACUGAUACCUUGACUUUUGUGACUAUUGUAUAUGUAAUUCACAUCAAAGUCCCCACUAAGGCACCAAGAGCACAGAAUUAAGGGAGAAUACCAAUAUUUGGUCUUGGUAAGUACCUAUUUUCUUUAGCACCAUGUUAGAAAAUUGUCAGUGAUGGAAAAGACUCUUCCCGAGAAGUGACUAUACCAAUACAUGCAAUUAUACAAAUUGUUAUGUACUGUGUGUAUUAGACACUGUCGAAGUAGCUACAUUGUUCAUGUUGAUACUGUUUUUGUUGUUUCCUCAUUUCCCUGAAAUGGUCAAAAAUCUCAGUACAGACUGCCAUUUGUAACUUUAUCUUCUUUGAGAGCGGGAACUGCAUAUUCCCUUAACAGCACGUCAUAGCUCUCUAAUGUUUUCUCAAGUGAAUAAUAGACUUAUAGAAAGCCUGAAUCGGCAAUCCUGUGAACAGUGGGGUAGAAGGUUAGUUUUAAGACUUUUAUACGUGAGAUUCUCCCAGAAUAUUAGAUGAACCAUGGUACAAGUGGUACAGUGGGCUCUGGUGUAAACGUUGCCAUUCAGCUUUGUCUCCUUUAAAGCAGGCCCUGCAAUCAACUUUCAAUGCUUCCUCUUUUUGUCAGGGGCCAGCUUGGUCUCAGAAAUUCCACCCAGGGAUCACAUGUGCUUAGCUCUGCAUUUGUGCCAACUAUGUAGUGUGUAGUAUAUAGUAGUGCUUCAGAAAUUCACAAAUAAAUAACUGUGUGAGACAAGCCAGUUGGGGACAGAGAGGCUGCCUGAGGGUCGAGGGGCCUUCCAGGGAAAGAAGAUGCAGCCUGAAGGUUUUCCGAAACUUAAGAACUGUGUGCACCAAUCUUGUGGCUUGCCAGGCACUUCUUUCUGCUUCAGGCUGGAAUUCUGCAUCUAGAACCUUGUUGGGUGGCUGACUGGGCCACAGGGUUGUCAUCUGCUGCAGGUCCUUCAUCAGUGCCCAAAUACAAAGACUGUGCACGUGUACACUAACUGGAAGCUUGUUUUUCUUGUCCUGAAACAGAAAGUUCAUGUCUUUUUAAUAUCUUCAGCAGAUUUGUAUUUCCUCUGAGAUAACUUGGUGUCCUUUGCUUGGGUCACUUAGAGUGAGUCAUAGCCAUAAGAUUUUCAGGGCCUAAGAGCCCAUAUGCCAUCUUUGAGUAUUUAAACAUUAAAUGGGUAGCUAGAUAUAUAAUCAUUAAAUUAUGUUUCAUCCUCUAACAGCAGCAAUACUCAUAAAGUGAUGGCUUUUAUAUGAUCGAAAAUUGGCAAAAUAUCAGAGAUGGUUGAAUUCGAUCAGUAUCAAUACAAUUUUAGAAUAUAUUACCAUAGUGAUGAAUUUCAAAAUAAUUUUUUUAUAUUUUAAGAAAAUUUCCUAGCAUAUUCCAAACUCUCUAUGGAAGAUAAAGGUAAGAAAUAGAGCAUAUUUAACACAUGCUAAUAAAUUAAAUUGCUACACAGAGCUGAAAGUUUUUGACUUUUUGAAACAGUAAUUUUGUUAGUUGUUUUUUUUUUUGUUAAUGUUCAAUGCUUUAGAACCAGUUCAUGAGUCUUGUGAGUUAUGUCUAAACACAGUUAAGAACAAUGUCACAAAAGCAAAUAUCCCUUAGCCUUUGUGUGAACUGUUGUGAACACUGCACUAAUCUGAGAGCACUUCUGGAACGUUAAAUGUCAGUGUGAUGAGAAGACAAGGGAACAAAUCCCAGCCUUACUAGGAAGUGCAAUACUGCUAUGCAAGAAUCGGCUGCAUUCAAGGUUUUCUGAGAGCAGGGUAGCUUGACUUUUACCUAAGCAGUCCCAUACACUGGAAUGGAGUUGCCUUCUGUCUCAAGGAUCUAAGACAGGAGAUGUGAAGAAUCACUUGUUGGGGCCAGUUAUUUGUAGAAGGUUGUAUCAUGUUAGGGGCUUGAGUGUGAGAUCUCAAGUAAGAGAUGCAUUCAUAUGUCUGUUUGUGUGUAUGUGUUUGCGAUUUGCAAGUCUACAAAAGCAUCGCUCAAGAGCAGAGCCCUGUCCUGUCUUGCUCUAAGGGUACUGGUGAUCUUAGACCAUGGAGUGAUUAAAAAGAUGGUUUUUCUAACCAAACUCUUUAUUUCAGUAAAUACAACAAGUAGAUGGGAGAGGAGGUUGGCCCAUGCUUUUCACUCAGCCAACACAAAGAAGCCUUGCCUGCUGACUUGUCAUGGUCAUCUGAAGUGCUGCUCUACUCACUGGCUCUUGAGUUUUAGGGCUGCAGAAGACAAAAUGAGGCUUUUCAUUCAUUCAUUCAAUAAGUAAUUGUCAAGCAUCCUGCUUUCCAGAUGUUAUUUGUGAAGAUCUCACAGUGUUGAGGACACAGACUUGAACAUAUAUGAUAAUAUUGUGAGCCAGGUGUUCCUGACUCCAGUGGAUGGACUUCACACCAUGUUCUGAUGUCUGAUGUGUAAGAACUUCACUGGAGAACUCGGGAGGUCUUCUGCGGAUUAACUUCAGUAUCUGUGCGUAAGUCAGCGAAAGGUCUUCCCCUGCGUUCUUCCAGGCCCUGGCACGUGGUGGUGCUCGUCCCUGGAACGAAAGCGUGAGUCCCGGGCACGCGCGCAGCGAGUCUGGUUAGGCAUCGUCUCUCUCGCUGACUUGA